rnacentral:tRNA from 1 species
GCCUGGGUGGCUCAGUUGGUUGAGUGUCCGACUUCAGCUCGGGUCGUGAUCUCACAGUCUGUGAGUUCGAGCCCCGCGUCGGGCU